CACUCCCACAGUGCAGCAACUUUCAGAAACAAACAGGAAGAACCGUGGACCUCUAAACUACCAGGUUUCACUUUCACCCCAUGCUAACAGAUAGCACAGCACUUGGAAAGCAGGCGCAUUAGCUACUGACUACCUCUUGCAGCUGAGCAUGGAUUAUGUAGAGCCCAUUCUGUCUAUUGCUUCACAGAUCUACACUCUGGUUGAGAAUGUUAAGGCCAAUAAAAAGCGCUGCUGUCGUGUUGUGGAGCGAGUAAAAGCCUUGGAGGACUUGGUGAAGUCAAUCAAACGGAGGGAUGCAGUCGAGCUCUCUGCUGAGGUGGAGAAUUCCCUGAAGGGACUCUCAAUCACUCUCAGAUCAGCUCAGGAGCUCAUUGAGAAAUACACUUUGUCAAACUUGGUGAAGCGCAUCCUGAAGUCCAGCAGUCAUGGAGAUGAAUUCAACAGUGUGAAUGAACGGCUCAAUGAUGCCUUCCAAUGCCUAGCUUUAGCUCUGCAGCUAGAGCAUGGAAAUCAGGUGUUCAGGGUUUUUGAGCAGAUCUCCAGGCAGAAGGAAGAUGAAGCUGACAGCAGGGAAGAUGAUGCAGAAUUGAAAAGAAUGCUCAUGGAAUACGGGGAAUAUGUGGAAACCAUGCAAAGGGAUCUUGAAGACAUUAAAUCCAAUGUAGUAAAAAUUGUGGAGAUGUUGAAUAAACCCAGAAUCAUAAAUAUGGACAUCCGAAUGAUUAAACCAGAUGAACUGAAGAAUGUUGAAGAAAAGCCCUUUAUGACCACACCAACCUCUGAGGUCUACAAAGGAGAAUUUGGUGGCUUCACAGUGGCCAUCAAGAAAUACACAGGAGCUUUAAAUGCCAAUCCAGGGAUGGUAAAGUCUGUCUUCAAUAAGGAAGUAGACACCAUGAAACGCUUUGAGUCUCCCAACAUCCUGCGAAUGUUCGGCAUCUGCAUCCGAGAAGAGAACACUCCAAAUCCUGAGUUCCUCGUCAUCAUGGAGUAUUGUGAAAAAGGAAGCCUACGAGAUGUUCUGAACUCCAAACAUGAACUGUUAUGGACCAGGAAAGCAUCCAUGUGUUUGGAUGCAGCACAGGGACUUUAUCGACUCCAUCUAACUGAGGAAAUAAGUAAGCUUCACAUGAGCAUCACAAGCACUAAGUUCCUCGUGGAUGAGAACUACAGAGUGAAGCUGGGAGGGUUAGAACUAGCAAAAACAGAGACAUCACUGAAAAGAACAACUAAGGGUAAAGAGCAUUACAAAACCAUCAGCUCGCUGUGCUACUCCUCUCCCCAGCAGCUCAGCAACAUCAACCACGCAUACACCAAAGAGUGUGAGAUCUACAGCUUGGGAAUCGUUCUGUGGGAAAUUGCCACUCGUAAGAAGCCUUUUGAAGACUGCGGUGGCGAUGACAAAAUUAUUUCUAAAAAAGUGUGUGAGGAAAAAUAUCAAGAGCCGCUCCCUGCUGAUUGUCCUGAAUCCCUGGGGGAGAUGAUCAAUGCCUGUAGGGCUUAUGAAAGCUAUCACAGGCCAUCUGCUGGCGUGUUGGUGGAUAAACUGCGAAGUGUGCUGGUACAGUUUGAGAAACAGUGAAAGCCUUCAACACUGAUCACAAUAUCUUCUACAAUUUUGUUCAUGUGUUGUCUCAUAAUGAUAUUCUUCUAUUUCUAUUUUGACUGUAAUUUUGUUCUUUUUUCCCCCCUACUUUCCCUGUAGUUUUUAGUAAUUUUGUUUAUUUUGUCUUGUAAUUCUCAGUCAAAUGUUUUUCUUUCUUCCACAGCCCCAACAUGAGCAUGUCACUGUAACUAAGUAACUGGUCACUUUAAAUAGUCUUUGAUUCUGAGGUUGACAAUACAAUACAAUACUAAAGUUUUUAACUCGAUACUCGUGCAAAGAAAAACUCUAUGAUACUACAGUAACCUUUCUUUAAGGCCACAACUGAGAAGCAGAAGUGCAGCACUCAUUAGAAAAAAGCUGACCUUGCUAUGUGACAAGAAUGUGAAGACUGGAUUUGUGUGCCAGUCUUCUCCCUUGGCAUUCUUUGGAGGUUUAUUAGUAAAAUAGCAUGCUGGCAGGUUAUGCUAUUGCCACAAUCAGUGGUGGUUUCUGAUAUGGGCGACACAGGCAACUGCCCCAGGUGGCAUCUUGUGGGGGGCGGCAUGAGCAUCACCCCCUCUAUCUGGCCCUCUUAAUGUCAGCAUUGCCUAAUGUUUUGUAUGUAUCAGGAGGAAAAAGCAAGAAAUGAAGAUAUCGUGGUUGCUGCCCUACAUGGUGAUCCACUAGAUACCUGCUGAUUUACUCUAUGUUAUCAAUGCAUUUAUUUAAUUGUGUUUACCUGCCAAAUUUCUUUUUAAUGUUGGGUUUGUUUGUACUGUGAUUUAUGUUGAAAAAAUAUAUUUAAAAAAUGUAUAAUAAUUUUGAAUUUAAAAAAUAAAUUCUUGGACUCUUAAGACUUGAGUGUAAGCUGCAGAUAGUAGCUUUGACAGGUGAUAUGUUGAGCUUUACUCUGAAAGGAUGAGGUUGACUUAUUAGCCAGUGAUGUGACUCAUAACAGUCUGUUGAUGUUACUUAGAGCUUCACAUUAAUGAGGAUGCCAGUGUUACUUCAAGUGAAUGCUCCAUUAAAGUACUUCAGUCAUUUCAGUGCAAAGCAUGCAUGAUUUAACACCCAUGCUGUAUCACUGGUAAAAACUCAGUUUGGCAUUUUUGAAAUGUGGUUCUGUGAAGUUGUUGUGGAAUAAACUCCAUCUACACCA